UGGGGAAUAUUGGACAAUGGGCGAAAGCCUGAUCCAGCCAUGCCGCGGGUGUGAAGAAGGUCUUCGGAGUGUAACGCACUUUAAGUUGGGAGGAAGGGCAGUAAGCGAAUACCUUGCUGUUUUGACGUUACCGACAGAAUAAGCACCGGCUAACUCUGUGCCAGCAGCCGCGGUAAUACAGAGGGUGCAAGCGUUAAUCGGAAUUACUGGGCGUAAAGCGCGCGUAGGUGGUUCGUUAAGUUGAAUGUGAAAGCCCCGGGCUCAACCUGGGAACUGCAUCCAAAACUGGCGAGCUAGAGUAGGGCAGAGGGUGGUGGAAUUUCCUGUGUAGCGGUGAAAUGCGUAGAUAUAGGAAGGAACACCAGUGGCGAAGGCGACCACCUGGGCUCAUACUGACACUGAGGUGCGAAAGCGUGGGGAGCAAACAGG
rnacentral:rRNA from 1 species